AUUGAACGCUGGCGGCAGGCCUAACACAUGCAAGUCGAGCGGAUGAAGGGAGCUUGCUCCUGGAUUCAGCGGCGGACGGGUGAGUAAUGCCUAGGAAUCUGCCUGGUAGUGGGGGAUAACGUCCGGAAACGGGCGCUAAUACCGCAUACGUCCUGAGGGAGAAAGUGGGGGAUCUUCGGACCUCACGCUAUCAGAUGAGCCUAGGUCGGAUUAGCUAGUUGGUGGGGUAAAGGCCUACCAAGGCGACGAUCCGUAACUGGGCUGAGAGGAUGAUCAGUCACACUGGAACUGAGACACGGUCCAGACUCCUACGGGAGGCAGCAGUGGGGAAUAUUGGACAAUGGGCGAAAGCCUGAUCCAGCCAUGCCGCGUGUGUGAAGAAGGUCUUCGGAUUGUAAAGCACUUUAAGUUGGGAGGAAGGGCAGUAAGUUAAUACCUUGCUGUUUUGACGUUACCAACAGAAUAAGCACCGGCUAACCUCGUG
rnacentral:rRNA from 1 species